rnacentral:lncRNA from 1 species
CCCUAGCCUAGAUUAGGGAUGCAGAAUAGUACAAUUGAUCUCUGAGAGUUGCCCAUGGCUGCCCACCACUAUUGGACCCCAAAUAAUGGUUUGCCCUAGAAAUAGGCAAGGACCUGAAUGCUGCUAUUUCCACAUGCUUUUAGCUUGUUUUGGAACAGCUGAGCAGUUUUUCAGAACAGUUGCUGCAGUAGGGGUAUUCAGACAUUGUUGACAAAGCAAUGAAACAUUAAGCUGAUUUUGCCAGACAUAAUUGCAAUUAUCUUUUGCUAUUAUGGUCUUGAGGGUAACAAUGCUGCUCACUGUGCAAGUGGCUGUGAUGCUCUGGACUAUCUCUAUGUUGCCACGCAUUGGUUCUAGCUAUGAGCUCCAGGAUACCAUCCAUUCUUUGAAAAAUGAGAAUGUCCAUCUUCACCACCGUCUGGAGAAUCUCACCCGCACUCUCCGCAAACUGAAGCAUCUGCUCUUGGAUCACUCACGAGGUAUCGGUCCUGAGAAACAUCACCUGCUGGAACAGGCUUUCUGCUGGCCUGAUCUCCAAGGAGCUGCCAAUUCUAUCUUCACUGUACCUGCCCUCUUCCUCCUUACUCCAAUCAUUGUCUGGUUGAGCCAUCUGCUUUUCUGACUUCUGAGAACUUGAGAAAACAGAAAUCACUAUUGUUAGCCUGGUCCCAGAUCUGUUUGUGCUUUCUUGCCAACUCCUAUGGUCAGUGUCUCACGCAUGAGUUAGUGUAGGAGCCCGUAAUAUCGGCAUAUUAAACAGUGUUUAAGAAAUAUAUUACCUUCAACAGUGUUAUCCUGUGAUCAAGCCAUCAAUGUUUUGUGAUUAUUGGUGUUGCAAAAAUGUUAUCGGGUUAGCAAUUAGCAUGUUUGACAUUUCAGUGGAAAUACUACUAUUAUCAGCUUUUUGAUAAGCGAUUUAGCUAAAAAAUGCACUGAGUAUUAUCGGCAUAACCCAGUUAUUGGCCACCUUGCUAUUUUGUUCAAUUACAAGAUAUAUCCAUUUAAAUUUGUGAAAAAAAGUGACACCAACCUCCUCUCUGAAAUGUUUACUAGAUAGUUGACUAGUUGGCUAGCCUUCCGGUUAAAAAAAUGUACUUGCCCGUCAACUUUUCAUUGUGUUGGCCGGUGUGCCUUCCUGUGGACUCUGGUUCUUCACCAACAUCUUCUUCAGUGUUGUAACCAAAUAAUGUCUCAUAAUUUGAUUUACAGAUGAAUCUUAUGUUUUGAGAAAGUAGAUAACAGUUUAAUACUAAAAUAUAAAUGAGUAUGAAUAAUUUACAUCAAAUAAAACUUUCAUUUCAGUGAUGUGCAUUGACAUAAACAAUGAAAACACGGUUGGAGUUUGUGUUGCAGAGGAAGAAAUACACAAGAUGGGUUGAAUAAAUAUAUGUAAAUUAUAUUUUAGACAUGUAUUUUUUACAAAUAAAUAAUUGCAU